rnacentral:rRNA from 2 species
CUUAAAUUGAAGAGUUUGAUCAUGGCUCAGAUUGAACGCUGGCGGCAGGCCUAACACAUGCAAGUCGAGCGGUAGCACAGAAGAGCUUGCUCUUUGGGUGACGAGCGGCGGACGGGUGAGUAAUGUCUGGGAAACUGCCUGAUGGAGGGGGAUAACUACUGGAAACGGUAGCUAAUACCGCAUAACCUCGCAAGAGCAAAGAGGGGGACCUUAGGGCCUCUCGCCAUCAGAUGUGCCCAGAUGGGAUUAGCUAGUAGGUGAGGUAAUGGCUCACCUAGGCGACGAUCCCUAGCUGGUCUGAGAGGAUGACCAGCCACACUGGAACUGAGACACGGUCCAGACUCCUACGGGAGGCAGCAGUGGGGAAUAUUGCACAAUGGGCGCAAGCCUGAUGCAGCCAUGCCGCGUGUGUGAAGAAGGCCUUCGGGUUGUAAAGCACUUUCAGCGGGGAGGAAGGCAGUAAGGUUAAUAACCUUAUUGAUUGACGUUACCCGCAGAAGAAGCACCGGCUAACUCCGUGCCAGCAGCCGCGGUAAUACGGAGGGUGCAAGCGUUAAUCGGAAUGACUGGGCGUAAAGCGCACGCAGGCGGUCUGUUAAGUUGGAUGUGAAAUCCCCGGGCUUAACCUGGGAACUGCAUUCAAAACUGACAGGCUAGAGUCUUGUAGAGGGGGGUAGAAUUCCAGGUGUAGCGGUGAAAUGCGUAGAGAUCUGGAGGAAUACCGGUGGCGAAGGCGGCCCCCUGGACAAAGACUGACGCUCAGGUGCGAAAGCGUGGGGAGCAAACAGGAUUAGAUACCCUGGUAGUCCACGCUGUAAACGAUGUCGAUUUGGAGGUUGUGCCCUUGAGGCGUGGCUUCCGGAGCUAACGCGUUAAAUCGACCGCCUGGGGAGUACGGCCGCAAGGUUAAAACUCAAAUGAAUUGACGGGGGCCCGCACAAGCGGUGGAGCAUGUGGUUUAAUUCGAUGCAACGCGAAGAACCUUACCUACUCUUGACAUCCACAGAAUUCGGCAGAGAUGCCUUAGUGCCUUCGGGAACUGUGAGACAGGUGCUGCAUGGCUGUCGUCAGCUCGUGUUGUGAAAUGUUGGGUUAAGUCCCGCAACGAGCGCAACCCUUAUCCUUUGUUGCCAGCGAUUCGGUCGGGAACUCAAAGGAGACUGCCGGUGAUAAACCGGAGGAAGGUGGGGAUGACGUCAAGUCAUCAUGGCCCUUACGAGUAGGGCUACACACGUGCUACAAUGGCGUAUACAAAGAGAAGCGACCUCGCGAGAGCAAGCGGACCUCAUAAAGUACGUCGUAGUCCGGAUUGGAGUCUGCAACUCGACUCCAUGAAGUCGGAAUCGCUAGUAAUCGUAGAUCAGAAUGCUACGGUGAAUACGUUCCCGGGCCUUGUACACACCGCCCGUCACACCAUGGGAGUGGGUUGCAAAAGAAGUAGGUAGCUUAACCUUCGGGAGGGCGCUUACCACUUUGUGAUUCAUGACUGGGGUGAAGUCGUAACAAGGUAACCGUAGGGGAACCUGCGGUUGGAUCACCUCCUUACCAAGAAG